ensembl:snRNA U2 U2 spliceosomal RNA
UUCACUUCUUGGCCUUUUGGCUAAGAUCAAGUGUAGUAUCUGUUCUGCCACUGGUGACUUUCUUGGAUCAUUCCCU